rnacentral:misc_RNA from 1 species
GAGAACUACGUCACGUGUUUUCAAGCAAGUAGAAGAGGCUGUCUUUUGCGUUCAUUUAAAAAAAUUUAUUCUUAGAUAAAUUAAUCAUGCCAGAUUUUGGAUAUGGAGGCGGUGAUGGUGGAUAUGGUGGUGGGUACAGGGGAGGACGCGGUGGUAGAGGUGGGGGACGAUCAAGCUUUCAGAAAGAACUCGACCCGGAACACGAACAGUUCCGAAAACUCUUCAUUGGUGGCUUGAGCUACGACACAACUGAGGACGGUCUGAAGGAUCACUUUGGUCAGUGGGGAGAGGUGGUUGACUGCAUUGUCAUGAAGGACCCCAACACAAAGAGAUCUCGAGGUUUUGGCUUCAUCACGUACAAGCUGGCGUGCGAAGUCGAUGAAGCUCAGAGUAACAGACCACACACGAUAGACGGACGCGAGGUGGAGUCAAAACGAGCCAUGCCAAGAGAGGAGUCUGGCAACUCGAAUUCCCAGCAGUCAGUGAAGAAGAUGUUUGUCGGCGGGCUGAAGGACGACACGACAGACGAACAGAUGAGGGAGGUGUUCUCGGAGUUUGGUAAUAUCGAAGAUGUCAAUAUGAUCACUGACAAAACAACGGGCAAGUUGAAGGGAUUCGCCUUCGUCUCGUUUGACGACCAUGAUGCAGUCGACAAGGCUGUCUUGAAGAAGUUCCAUGACGUGAAUGGCCGGAAACUGGAAGUGAAGAAAGCCAUGUCAAAAGAUAGUGAAGGCGGAGGUCGUGGGGGUAGAGGCGGCAGGGGAGGUCGCGGAGGUUAUUCGGGUGGCAGUAGUUAUGGAGGCGGUGGUUAUGGAGGCGGCAGCAGAUACAGCAGUGGUGGUGGAGGUGGAGGAUAUGGUGGCCAGGGAGGUUACAGUGGAGGUUACGGAGGUCAGAGCGGGGGUUAUGGAGGAGGUCAGAGCGGUGGUUACAGUGAUACAUACAGCGGUGGCUACGGUUCGCAAGGUGGAGGCAGUAGCUGGGGAGGUAGUUCGUUUGGAUCGGGUUACGGUGACAACUACGGAGGGGGCUCCAUGAAGGGCAGCAGUGGGUACUCUCAGCGCAGUCAGGGGCCGUACAGCGGAGGUGGCUACAGUGGCGGUGGCAGUGGCGGUGGCGGUGGCUAUGGCGGAGGAGGCUAUGGAAAGCACUGAGCGUUGAAAGAGGACUAUCCCAGGCAGGCAGAGUGAUAGCGGCAGUCUCAUUUAUCCAGAACCCAUACUUCCAACAAAUUAGAAUUACCACAGGCAGGCUAUGUGAUACAACAAAAGGAAAAUCUCAAAAAAGGCAAAUUAGCUCAGGGCUAGACUCAUCAAGAACCUAUAUGAAAAAUACUGCGAGGCCCAAAACCAAAACCAAAAAUUCAAUAGUGCUUCAUUGAGUGGCAAUGAUCCAAGAGGCAGGUAGUUGAGGAUUAAGUUCACCCAGAACCCAUGCGAAACAUUCAACAAGGUCGUUACAAAUGUUCUUGCUCGUUACCCCGGACAGGCAGGUAGUUUCAGGAAUAUACUGCGAGACCAAAACUGAUCAUUCUUCAAUCAAUAUUUCUGACAGGCAGGUAGCGCCCAGAAUCCCAUGUUCUGCAAGGUCUUUUAAAAAAAAGUACUUCAGUUGUUACCCCUGACAAUAUACUGUGAUGCCAAAGUUGACCGUUCUUCAUUCAAUACGUCCCGACAGGCAGGUAGCUCAGGAAUACUUUCGCACAGAACCCACGCGAAAAUACUUCAAUCGUUACCCCCGACAGGCAGGCAGGCAGGCUGGUAGCUCAGGAAUACUUUCGCACAGAACCCACGCGAAAAUACUUCAAUCGUUACCCCCGACAGGCAGGCAGGUAGCUCAGGAAUAUACGGCAAGACCAAAAUGUUCUUCAACGUGUUUGUUUAAUAAAUUCAUGCAGAGCCCAAAUGAAAACUACUACCAGGCAAUAACCGAUUCGUCAAUUGUUUGUUGGCAAUAUAUUCUACAGGCAGAUCUCUGGAGUGAAAUUCACCCAGAACCUAUGUGAAAACUGAAGCCAGUUCUGGCUGGAUGAAAAUACUGGAUUAUUCUGAUAAUGUGUUUGACCGUGUGUAGUAUAAUAAAAAAUGACAGGCAGGUAGGUUCCUAUUGGCUUUAGAAUUCAGCUAAUUAUGAUUUGCUGAAUUAAAAAAAAAAAGGACAAAUCUGUGAUGUUGAAACCAUGCACUUGAAAUGUUUUAGAAGAGACUUGUUUUUAUAAAAUCUACCUUUCGACUGUUGUGGUUGAUCACGGAAUAACAAAACAAUUAUUUUUACCUCUGGCAGUCUCACUGGCCUUGCCUGGGAUAGACAAAAAAACCCUGAAAAGUAUUUAUGAUUGAGAGGGAUCUGAUAGAUACGUACGUUUUUUUUUUAAGUCUUGUGUAUGUUUCAUCAUGUAUCAUUGUUUAUUCAUUCUGUCGUUGGUCUAGAGAAAUAAAUGUUUAUCGAUGUC